AAAGUCAUCUGUGUUAAGGAAAAUAUCUGAGUUGGUUUGGAACCAGGAGGGGAAGGAUACAAAACAAGGAAAAUCAAGGAGGCAUAACCAAGGUUUGCUGUUCGACGAGCACUUACACUUCUACUGGAGAGACAUAAAGCGUCAUAUGAGAAGUCAGGGGUGCAAACGAGGCAGUAUAUCCACCCAAUGAACGGCGCGACCAGGAAGCUCUUUAGAGGCGGACUCCAUCCUCACCAACACCACCUGGCACGGAUUAGGAGCACAGUAAAUAUGAGCAAGAGCGCACGCAGCGUGCACACACAGGAGAGAGACGGAAGGAAGAGGAAGAGAGAGAAACCCAAGCAGAUUUCCUGUUGAGC